CAGUAGCCGCGGUAACACGUAGGGUGCAAGCGUUAAUCGGAAUUACUGGGCGUAAAGCGUGCGCAGGCGGUUAUAUAAGACAGAUGUGAAAUCCCCGGGCUCAACCUGGGAACUGCAUUUGUGACUGUAUAGCUAGAGUACGGCAGAGGGGGAUGGAAUUCCGCGUGUAGCAGUGAAAUGCGUAGAUAUGCGGAGGAACACCGAUGGCGAAGGCAAUCCCCUGGGCCUGUACUGACGCUCAUGCACGAAAGCGUGGGGAGCAAACAGGAUUAGAUACCCCCGUAGUCCCUGUCUCUUAUAC
rnacentral:rRNA from 1 species